rnacentral:rRNA from 1 species
AUUCACUGGGCAUAAAGGGUACGUAGGCGGUUUAGCAAGUUUUUGGUUAAAGCCUUUUGCUUAACAUUAGGACUGCCAAGAAAACUGCUAAACUAGAGGCCGGAAGAGGUAAGCGGAACUGCCGGUGUAGGGGUUGAAUCCGUUAAUAUCGGCAGGAACACCAAAAGCGAAGGCAGCUUACUAGAACGGACCUGACGCUGAGGUACGAAAGCGUGGGUAGCGAACGAGAUUAGAUACCUCGGUAGUCCACGCCGUAAACAUUGGAUGUUGGGCAUUGGAAGUGUCGACCCUUUCAGUGUCGCAUAUAAAAGUUAAUACGUUAAACAUCCCGCCUGGGAACUACGGCCGCAAGGCUAGAACUCAAAGGAAUAGACGGGAGCUCGCACAAGCGGUGGAUCAUGUGGUUUAAUUCGACGCUAAGCGAGGAACCUUACCAGGGCUUGACAUACUAGGACGUAGGCUUUCUGAAAAGUUAGCUGAUCCUUUAGGAAACCUAGUACAGGUGCUGCAUGGUUGUCGUCAGCUCGUGUUGUGAAAUGUUCCGUUAAGUCGGGAAACGAGCGCAACCCCUGUCCUUAGUUACCAGCGGUUUAAGCCGGGGACUCUAGGGAGACUGCCAGUGAUAAACUGGAGGAAGGUGGGGAUGACGUCAAAUCAGCAUGGCCCUUAUGCUCUGGGCUACACACAUGAUACAAUGGCCGAUACAAUGGGUCGCCAAAUCGCAAGAUGGAGCUAAUCCCAUCAAAAUCGGUCCCAGUUCGGAUUGAGGUCUGCAAUUCGACCUCAUGAAGUCGGAAUCGC